CUCCAGACUCCUACGGGAGGCAGCAGUGGGGAAUAUUGCGCAAUGGGGGAAACCCUGAUGCAGCGACGCCGCGUGAGCGAUGAAGUAUUUCGGUAUGUAAAGCUCUAUCAGCAGGGAAGAAAAUGACGGUACCUGACUAAGAAGCCCCGGCUAACUACGUGCCAGCAGCCGCGGUAAUACGUAGGGGGCAAGCGUUAUCCGGAUUUACUGGGUGUAAAGGGAGCGUAGACGGCAAUGCAAGCCAGAUGUGAAAGCCCGGGGCUCAACCCCGGGACUGCAUUUGGAACUGUGUAGCUGGAGUGUCGGAGAGGCAGGCGGAAUUCCUAGUGUAGCGGUGAAAUGCGUAGAUAUUAGGAGGAACACCAGUGGCGAAGGCGGCCUGCUGGACGAUGACUGACGUUGAGGCUCGAAAGCGUGGGGAGCAAACAGGAUUAGAUACCCGAGUAU
rnacentral:rRNA from 1 species